UUCCAUUAUCUUCCUUUAGAUACACAAACUUUCUGUCUUGUCAGUGUCCACAGUGUCUUGCUCGAAGGCCUCUCGCUCAUCCAACUUUUUCCCUAAAGUGCUCUCGGUAACUUUCUGGCGGUCUCUCUCAUGCUAAUUGGUCGACAAACACCCGACCCCCCCGACUUUAUCCACACCCCCGCACCCCAGUGAGUGGCUGGGCCCCCUGGAAAGCCACAGUAACAAAUGGCUGGCUGUGAGGCCUUUGUGAGCCCCUGCUGAGCGCUGGUGUGGAUGGUGUUUUAGGCCGCUGUUCAAGCACAGCGGGGGCCGAGCGCUCUCCCCCUGCUCGCUCUCUCUCACACAGCUCUCGCAGGCGGAGCGCCUUCACACUCCAGACGACAGCAGGCCUGCAGAGACGGUCACUUCUCCAGCUACAUUCCAAACCCAGUGUGCGAGAAAAGUUUUCAGGCUUCACUGUUAAUUAACACACUUUGACUUGAGUUUUGUGGGCGUUUUUUUUUUUCCUUGUCUUACUUUCUUUGGCCUGCAUUAUGUCUGUUCUUUUGUAGUGUAGACUAGUUAUUUUAUUUGUGCUGCUCAUAACGCGAUGCUCUUUAACCUGGCGGCUGAGUAAAGAAUGUGUGCUUUCACAAUGGAUUACAUUACUGCCAGAGCAUUCCAGGAAUUGUGUAUAACAGGAGAAGGAGGCGGUAGAGCACUGCUGUGGAGAAGACAUGGCCGCUCUGACCUUCCAGGCACAGCGGCACGAAUGUGAGCUGACACAGACACUCCAGCAAAUGGAGGCGCAGCACGAGAAGAGGGGUGGGUGUUCGCUGGUGCGCUGCCCCUUGCCAGAACAACCGCCUUACCCGCCCUUCCGCCUGCCUCAUCCCCACACGCUCUGGGCGUGAGCCACACUGUGCGGGACAGCAUCAGGAACACCUGUAACCUUUGGCUGGCCGAAGGGAGCAGAUGCUCUGCGCUCCAGAGCUUCGGAGCUACAUAUUAGUUAGCGUUUAAAAAUAGGGGGAGAUGAGCAGCACUGCCCACUGUCUGCUGAUUUCAGAGUGCUGCUCUCACAUCUGUUGCACCAUCUGGAUGGGCGAGUUUAGAUUAUUUACCUGUGUUUCCAGAAACUUGAGUCAUGCUGAUCGCCAGAACAAAGCGUAGAGAAAACAAAGAGCUUCUUUCUGGCGCGACUGCACGGCACACAUGUUGUCUAAAGAGAAAUGGCAUCAGAGGCUCAGCAGGAAGCUCUCUGGGCUUAUGGAAUUAGUCCUUUAAUAUCACAGACCACUUCCCUCUCUAAGCAUAUAAUGGCCACUCUCGAUAGCUAAUUAUUUUUGUCCCCCCAUCCCUGUCUCUUUAACUCCAAAUGGAUUGAUUUUAGUAGUAAAGACAGAAUCGCCUCUAGAUGAGACCACAUUUUAAACUCUGCUCUGUUUGUUUAGAGUCCAGUUUGUUUCUUUAUCCUGUUUGUGUGUGGUGUUUUCUCUGUGGCCUGCACAUGCCCAGCUAGUUUCAAAGAGCAGAAACGCAGUAGGAAUCUUUUGGUAAAUUUUCAACAGCUUCUGAACUUUUUGAACUUAAUGAAAACUAAAUUUAAUUAGCAUUACAAUCCACCUAGCUACUGCAUUCUUGCAGUCUGUCUGCUUCUCCUUCGCUCUUUCUUUUUACAGAAUAGCCCAAUAUGUAUCUUAAAAAUACUGAAUGUGUGUUUGCUGUGUUAAUGAGUUAAUACUUUACCUGUUCACAGUCAGAGAAACAGAUGCUCUUCUGAGUGCUCAGAUCAGCCUGAUCGGAAAACUGAAGUGUCAGGUGCUCGGGGCAACGCUGGAGGAACUGGCCCGGAGCAGCAGACUGCACUGUCAGGCCAGUUCCCAGCAGCUCACGCACGACCUGUAAGUCCAGAAUUUUGGAGAGAACUGUGACCUGCAUCCACAGAGAGAGAGAGAGAUUGAGCACACAAGCAGCACAGCAGCUGGUAGCCAUGGCUGCACAUCACGCUAGACCAGCCACCCACAGAUGCUCAUCCAGAUUGCUGCUAGAGGCUCGUCAGCAACAGACAGACAGUGAAUCGCCGAAUGCUGACAUUCGUUGGAGAUUAUUGCAAAUGGAGCGAUGCUCCGCAAAGCGCCGCCGCUUUCUGCUCUGUUAAUACAACCAUGCUGUUGUUUUGUUAUUAGACUCUCCCUCUGAGCGUUUGUCUAAGAACACCCACAUGCUGACCGCUUCCUGCUCAUGCUCACAGCUCAUUAUACAAGGCCAAUUAGGAAUUAUGCUAGGCCGUUUGAAAUAAGUGAAAGCAUUGAAUGAGACAGAAGAGACAGCCUGGUGCAUUCCUCUUCUUCUGUCGAGAUGAUUAGUGAUUAGUUUUUGCAGUACUUGUCAACAUAGUGGUGCUGGGUUUCUUACGGAGUCUGCAUUAGGGUUGUCCCGUCUGUGUCACUUUCUCCUCAGGUGCAUGUUGAGAAGAGAACGGACAUGAGGUCCAUGAGGUCAUGUGAUCAAGUGAGAACCAAUCAUUAUGUGACACAUUCCAUAUAACUACACAAUGAAAAAGUCAUAGAUCACUAAUUUUAAAUAAAUAGUAAAUAAAAAGCAUAUGAAGAAAUGAGGACAUGAUUGCAAGACUGUGAUGCAAAUUCCAAAAUAUUCCAAAAUCCUUGAGUUAUUUAUCUUUUUGUAUGAAUUUUAUCAAAGAUAAGAGGGUGGCUGAAAAAAAACCCCUCUCUCUCUCCUUUUUUUUUUUUGUGAGCCAUUUGUAGAUUUCAUGUGCGAGGCUUCCGGGCUCAUCUGUUUCUAGCUAUUUUUGG